UGCUGGGUACGGGGGAUCCAGACAAACAGAGACAAAUGAUCAACCCUGAUACAUCACAGAAUGUCGCUUUAAGGGAAUGAUUUGAUACGUGUACUUCAAGAAAAGGUCUCAGGUUCAUCCUCUGAACGCUGCUCCAGUGGGAGUGAUGCCACACUUAGCUGUGACAACACAAGAGCUACAGCACAGCUGAGAUAGUGUCUGGAAGAAGCUUCCAAAACUGGAGUGUCACUGUCUAGCUUUUUGUUCCUGUCUGAGAACAAAUUGGUUAAUAUACUGGAAAUCUGCUGGGUCUCUCUGUACGAGCAGAUAAGUAGCACAGGAUUAAAAAAAAAAAAUCCCUUGAGGUUCUCCCUUGCUUCCUCCCUCCAGCACUCCUGCAGCAAGUGAUGGAAGAGCCACAGGUGACAGAGUCAAGGUCAAGUGUAUGAAUCCCACUCAUUAUUCUCUUUGGUGUGGAAAAAUGAUUCUGUCCCUAUGAAGAUCAGUGCAAGAAUCUCAGAGUAAAUGUGGGGCUCACAUUAAUAUCACAGGGGCAUUUUGCUUGCAUGUCCUGAUUUGAGCAUCAUGUUUUGUACCCGGUUACUGUGAGCCAUCCCCCAAAAAACACUAAAAACUGUUUGAAUCACAGCAGUCAACAGGAUCAGUUGUGUGGUAUGUCUACGGAAUGAAGAUCCAUGUCUGCUUCACAUUUAAGUUGUAAAAAAUUUUAAAAUUGUGUUUUCUGAAAAGCAAGUCACCCUCAAGUAUCUGUAGCAAUGCUCUGGCUGAACUUAAUGCAGCAGUGCCCACUCUUGAUCAUUUCAUGGUGCUGGAACUUCUGCCAGAUUGGAAGAUAAGCCAAGUUUUAUUUUUCCUUUAUUUUUAAGGGUGGUUCUUACCAUUCUGAAAAAAAAAAAAAAAAAAAAAAAAAGGCCCUGGCUUGGAAAUAUUAAACUAUGAGUGACACAAAAGCUUGAGAUUAAAAAAACCCCACAACUGCAGACCUGGAAAAAGAUCCUCAAACUCAUUUUUAAGAAGCAAUCUCAUAAUUCUUGCAGCCUGACUCAUCAGUUUUUGAAAAACAGGCUUGUCAAGCAGCUGAAGUACAGCCUUUUCCCAACAGGAGCCAGUUAAAUCUCAUGGUGCCCACAGAGGUUACAGAUCCUCCACAUCAGGUGAUUUUUUCCCUUCAGGAAGAAGGCUCCUCACAGUCACUGUUGAUGUCCCGCAUCACAAAUGCAUUUUCAUCCUUUGUAUUGAUUUUCUGAUCUGUUCAGGGCAGACUGCUGUGCCCUCUGUGCCUGGCUGGCUCUGCUCAGCCUCACUGACUCCCCAGACCGGGAACUUUGCACAUCCUGGCAAGUUAAACACACAGGGUUGGGCAAAGGUUGUUCAGCAUUUGGGAGACAUUGCGAGUGUUUGACAUUUGAACCUUAAUGUUCAAAUGUCACCAUUCUGGAAGUCAUAGACUGAUACUAUUAUUGAAAACAAACCAUGACUUCCAGAUUCUGAGCUGACCAGGACCAGAGCACACCCAGCCACAUCCUUGGCCUUUCCCAACAGCUCAGACUGGCAAGGAGUUUCUACUGCAGGGGUAAAAAAUUGUGGGAAGAGCAUCUUCCUGAUGCAGCUAACCAGUGUCUGGCACUGAACAUAACCUGUUCAGAGAGAACAUCUCCAGGGCUACAGUCUGUGAAGCCUGGAUGUGCUUGACCAUAGACUUCUAUUAAGAAAUAGCAUGAGCAGGAUCUGGAAGAAAUUUGAGGCAGUAUCUUGAAAGGUUUUCCUAGGGGACACACUUGAAAAAUUAGCAUUUGUGUAUUAUUUAAGCUAAUAAAAAGUCAGUGUAAUGAUGUUA